GGUUCUAUAGUGUAGUUGGUCAUCACAUCGGAUUCUGAUUUCUACUAGAUUUAGUAUUCCGGGGACUUGGGUUCGAUUCCCAAUAGGACCU